rnacentral:sRNA from 1 species
UUUCUAAUAAAUAAUAAACGCUAAUCACAAUAAUAAAUGUGCCCAUUAAUUCCAGCCAUUGCAACUUUGCUGGCCUC